rnacentral:rRNA from 1 species
GAUGAACGCUGGCGGCGUGCCUAAUACAUGCAAGUCGAGCGAACGGACGAGAAGCUUGCUUCUCUGAUGUUAGCGGCGGACGGGUGAGUAACACGUGGAUAACCUACCUAUAAGACUGGGAUAACUUCGGGAAACCGGAGCUAAUACCGGAUAAUAUUUUGAACCGCAUGGUUCAAAAGUGAAAGACGGUCUUGCUGUCACUUAUAGAUGGAUCCGCGCUGCAUUAGCUAGUUGGUAAGGUAACGGCUUACCAAGGCAACGAUGCAUAGCCGACCUGAGAGGGUGAUCGGCCACACUGGAACUGAGACACGGUCCAGACUCCUACGGGAGGCAGCAGUAGGGAAUCUUCCGCAAUGGGCGAAAGCCUGACGGAGCAACGCCGCGUGAGUGAUGAAGGUCUUCGGAUCGUAAAACUCUGUUAUUAGGGAAGAACAUAUGUGUAAGUAACUGUGCACAUCUUGACGGUACCUAAUCAGAAAGCCACGGCUAACUACGUGCCAGCAGCCGCGGUAAUACGUAGGUGGCAAGCGUUAUCCGGAAUUAUUGGGCGUAAAGCGCGCGUAGGCGGUUUUUUAAGUCUGAUGUGAAAGCCCACGGCUCAACCGUGGAGGGUCAUUGGGAACUGGAAAACUUGAGUGCAGAAGAGGAAAGUGGAAUUCCAUGUGUAGCGGUGAAAUGCGCAGAGAUAUGGAGGAACACCAGUGGCGAAGGCGACUUUCUGGUCUGUAACUGACGCUGAUGUGCGAAAGCGUGGGGAUCAAACAGGAUUAGAUACCCUGGUAGUCCACGCCGUAAACGAUGAGUGCUAAGUGUUAGGGGGUUUCCGCCCCUUAGUGCUGCAGCUAACGCAUUAAGCACUCCGCCUGGGGAGUACGACCGCAAGGUUGAAACUCAAAGGAAUUGACGGGGACCCGCACAAGCGGUGGAGCAUGUGGUUUAAUUCGAAGCAACGCGAAGAACCUUACCAAAUCUUGACAUCCUUUGACAACUCUAGAGAUAAAGCCUUCCCCUUCGGGGGACAAAGUGACAGGUGGUGCAUGGUUGUCGUCAGCUCGUGUCGUGAGAUGUUGGGUUAAGUCCCGCAACGAGCGCAACCCUUAAGCUUAGUUGCCAUCAUUAAGUUGGGCACUCUAAGUUGACUGCCGGUGACAAACCGGAGGAAGGUGGGGAUGACGUCAAAUCAUCAUGCCCCUUAUGAUUUAGGCUACACACGUGCUACAAUGGACAAUACAAAGGGCAGCGAAACCGCGAGGUCAAGCAAAUCCCAUAAAGUUGUUCUCAGUUCGGAUUGUAGUCUGCAACUCGACUACAUGAAGCUGGAAUCGCUAGUAAUCGUAGAUCAGCAUGCUACGGUGAAUACGUUCCCGGGUCU